AGCAAACCUGUGAGAAAGAGUAGUAAGCAUCAGGAAAUAUUUCAGAGAGCCGCAGCUGGUGGAAAUGCGGUAUAGGAACUCAUGCUGAAUGGACUUUUGAGGCCGGCCUGAAUGAAGUAGGCGUCGGCGGGAAUCCGGGCCCGUUAUCAAUCCGGCGUGCAUAAUUGUGCAUGCAUAUGGUAUGGAAUUUAUUUUCAGCCGUAUGGAAAGAGUGGACGAAAUGUCAAUUUGAGUGGUACCGCGAUAAUAACAGGAUUAUUACCGCCUCAAGC
rnacentral:ncRNA from 1 species